rnacentral:misc_RNA from 1 species
CCAUAACCACGAAAGCUAACAAGCCAGCGCCAGGAACACCUGCCAGCUUGAAAACAAGACCGGCCAGUAGGGACUGGAUGAUCGCGACGCCUAUGACACCUUGAGACACUGCGCGUAUGGUCGUGCCGGCCAGUUCCAGAAAAUGUUCGCUCUGUUCGGGCGCGAUACGAUAGAGAAAGGCCCUGACCGCCUCCACGAGCUGCGGGCCGUAGGGA